UCCAUCCAAUAUCUGACUGAG
rnacentral:misc_RNA from 1 species